rnacentral:rRNA from 1 species
CCUACGGGAGGCAGCAGUGGGGAAUAUUGGACAAUGGGCGAAAGCCUGAUCCAGCCAUGUCGCGUGUGUGAAGAAGGCCUUCGGGUUGUAAAGCACUUUCAGUGGGGAAGAAAGCCUUGGGGCUAAUACCCUCGAGGAAGGACAUCACCCACAGAAGAAGCACCGGCUAACUCCGUGCCAGCAGCCGCGGUAAUACGGAGGGUGCGAGCGUUAAUCGGAAUUACUGGGCGUAAAGCGCGCGUAGGCGGUCUGAUAAGCCGGUUGUGAAAGCCCCGGGCUCAACCUGGGAACGGCAUCCGGAACUGUCAGGCUAGAGUGCAGGAGAGGAAGGUAGAAUUCCCGGUGUAGCGGUGAAAUGCGUAGAGAUCGGGAGGAAUACCAGUGGCGAAGGCGGCCUUCUGGACUGACACUGACGCUGAGGUGCGAAAGCGUGGGUAGCAAACAGGAUUAGAUACCCCGGUAGUC